rnacentral:lncRNA from 1 species
GGCAGGCAGGAAGGGGGCCAGAUCCUGCCCGGUCUGGCCUCCAGGGCAGGAAGGGGACAAACCAGACGAGACACUCUUCCUGCUGAUCUCCCGGGGCUGCCUUUCCAGGCACUGAUUUCUCUCUAAAGUCACAUUCCUCUUUGGGUCUGACCUCCAUCUCUCCAGGUUUAAUGUGAUCAGAGGUGAGGCCUGAGCUGGGCACUUGCAGUGAGAAGAAUAGAAGGAGACAACCUGAGACAUGAAUGAGUGGAUCCUGGGACCAGUCAGGAGGAGGGGCCGAUGUUCUCCUGGUCCUUGUAAGCAGAAGAGAAAGAGGCAAGAGAAGAGUCACUUUACAGGCAAGAUCUGACUUCCUUCCUUCCUGUCUUCCUUCCUUCCAUCUAUCCAAACAUCCAUCCAUCUGUCCAACAUUUGCUGAGCACACCCUGUGUGCUACACAUUCAUUCAGUCAGUCUGCAAACUUGUACUUGGUGCCUGCUUUAUGCUUAUGCCUAUUAUAGACCCUUGGGACUACUUCUUCCAUUUACCUGAGGUUCCUGUGGCACCUACUAAUAUAUGCUAUCCUUUGUUACACAUCCAUUCAUUAGUUCACUCACGAACUCACCGAACAAAUAUUUACUGAGCAUGUACUCUGGGUCAGACAUUGUGCUUGGGGAUUAACAAUAGUCCUGGAUUCAUUAAGAAAUUUGCUGUCAUUGAAUGACCUCCAGAUUUAGGUGAUUCUACCAUUAACAACAAAACAGUUUUGAGCACACACUACCAAUUCCUCCACUUAUUUAUCUAUAAUUACUCGUACUACAGUUGCUGUUUUCUCAAAACAGACUCUAUACUCAGGGUGAGAGGCAUUGUUAGUGUCGGUGGAUAUAAAUGUGUAUUUCAAACAUUCUUUUUGAUAAUUUCUCUCUCUCCUGCCCUCUCGCUCAUUCGCCAGAUUUUUGUCAUAUCUGAUUAUUUCCGCAUUGUUUUUGCAUCAUAAUGUGGCUGACGAAGGACUUCUACCAGGAACAGGAGAAGUGUGAGGCCUGCGGUUUCCUUUUUUGGGGCUUGUGCUGGCUUUAUUGGUUUAUCCUCAAUCUGUGUAUCUUUGCAGGCUGCAAUGCAUCACAAUAUGCAGAAAGCGAAGAUCCAGGUUGCCACUGUGCCCCUGACCCAGGCAGCUGCGGGUGGGCCUCCCGAUCUUCCAUUAGGACACCUGGAGUACCUGCAUGACCUGUGUUGAUCUGAACUAUGCACCAGGGUGCCAGCUAAUCUGCAUAAUUUGUGUUAGUCACGUGUGAUAUAUUUCAACCUUUUGAGGUUUAAUACAGAAUCACACCAAAGUGGGUCAUCUUGCAGAUCCUUGAAACAGAAGCCAGGUCCAUGGCAGCUGCUAUCUCUUAUUUCAGAAGUGGAGAAAGCUCCAAUGCAGCCCGCAGGAAGCAUCCAAUGUGGGAUCCUUGAUUCUCCCGCCUAAACCCUCCAGUGGCUUCUCACUGCCUUGAGAAAAUAUCCAAAUCCCUU